CAGGGUAUAGCUCAGUGGUAGAGUGCGAUGCUUAGCAUGCAUUAGGUCCUGGGUUCAAUCCCCAGGACUCCAU
rnacentral:tRNA from 1 species